CCAAUUUUGAGGUGCGUCUGUGCGGCGAGUGAGCGGCAAAAGCUCAAAUUUGAAAUCUGGCGUCUUUGGCGUCCGAGUUUUAUUUUGAAGAAGGUAUCUUUGGGCCCGGCUCUUGUCUAUGUUCCUUGGACCGGGACGUCCCAGAGGGGGAAAUUCCCGGGCGAGAAGAGGCCCCGGGCCUUGUUAAGGUUCCUCCACCAAUCCAGUUGUUUGGGAAAGCCGCUCCUAAUGGGGGGGAAAUUCCCUCCAAAGCUUAAUAUUGGCGAAAGACCCAUUGCGAACAAAUACCGUGGUGGAAAAAAGAAAAAAACUUUUAAAAAAAAGUGGAAAAGUACCUGAAAAUUGUUAAAAGGAAAGGGCUGGAAAUCAAACUGGGAAUUUUGCUGGCGGCCCUCUCGGGGGCGGCCGCUGCGGUUUACCGGGCCACCUUCGGUUUGGAGCGGCGGGAUAGGGGCGGAGAAGUGUGGCGCGGCUUCUGCUGUGUGUUAUACCCUCUGACGACAGUGCCCCCCUAAACCGAGGAGUGGGGUUUUUCUACCAAGGAUGUUGAAAUAAUGAUCUUACCCCGUCAGUCUUGAAACACGAACAAA
rnacentral:rRNA from 1 species